GGUUAUGGCUCAGUGGUAGAGUGUUUGCCUCACAUGUGUGAAGCACUGGGUUCGAGUCUCAGCACCA
rnacentral:tRNA from 1 species